rnacentral:rRNA from 1 species
AGCAGCCGCGGUAAUUCCAGCUCCAAUAGCGUAUAUUAAAGUUGUUGCAGUUAAAAAGCUCAUAGUUGAAUUUCGGAAUCAAUAUGCUGGUCGUGCCAUUGGUACGUACUAGUAUUAUUGGUUUCUCCCUUCUGAUGAAUCAUGAUGUCAUUAAUUUGAUGUCAUGGGGAAUCAGGACUGUUACUUUGAAAAAUUAGAGUGUUUAAAGCAGGCUCGCGCUUGAAUACAUUAGCAUGGAAUAAUGAAAUAGGACGUUUGAUUCUAUUUGUUGGUUUCUAGGAUUGACGUAAUGAUUAAUAGGGAUAGUUGGGGGCAUUAGUAUUCAAUUGUCAGAGGUGAAAUUCUUGGAUUUAUUGAAGACUAACUACUGCGAAAGCAUUUGCCAAGGAUGUUUUCAUUAAUCAAGAACGAAAGUUAGGGGAUCGAAGACGAUCAGAUACCGUCGUAGUC